rnacentral:rRNA from 1 species
UACGAAGGGGGCUAGCGUUGUUCGGAUUUACUGGGCGUAAAGCGCACGUAGGCGGAUCGUUAAGUCGGGGGUGAAAUCCUGGAGCUCAACUCCAGAACUGGCCUUCGAUACUGGCGAUCUUGAGUCCGGAAGAGGUGAGUGGAACUCCGUAGUGUAGAGGUGGAAUUCGUAGAUAUUAGGAAGAACACCAGGUGGCGAAGGGCGGCUCACUGG